CCCCAAGACAACUCUUUGCAGAACCAUAAUGCUAGAGGCUAUAAAAGAGCACCCAAAGCUGCACGCAUAACCCAAGGCCGAACUAAACAGCAUCAUCCAUGGUAGAACCGAUGGAAGCUCUCCCUAUUCAACACCAUCUACAACAAAAAUCAUCAAAUCCUCAUUUCUUCACAAUCUCCAUCCGAAGAUGAGAGAGCGAAACC
rnacentral:misc_RNA from 1 species